UACGAAGGGGGCUAGCGUUGUUCGGAUUUACUGGGCGUAAAGAGCGCGCAGGCGGUUAUUCAAGUCGAAUGUGAAAGCCCCCGGCUUAACUGGGGAGGGUCAUUCGAUACUGUUUAACUUGAAGGCAGGAGAGGGUAGUGGAAUUCCCAGUGUAGAGGUGAAAUUCGUAGAUAUUGGGAAGAACACCGGUGGCGAAGGCGGCGCUCUGGACCGAGACUGACGCUGAGGCGCGAAAGCGUGGGGAGCAAACAGG
rnacentral:rRNA from 1 species